rnacentral:rRNA from 1 species
AUUGAACGCUGGCGGCAUGCCUUACACAUGCAAGUCGAACGGCAGCACGGGUGCUUGCACCUGGUGGCGAGUGGCGAACGGGUGAGUAAUAUAUCGGAACGUACCUUAUUGUGGGGGAUAACGCAGCGAAAGCUGUGCUAAUACCGCAUAAUCCCUAAGGGGGAAAGCGGGGGACCGUAAGGCCUCGCGCAAUUAGAGCGGCCGAUAGCUGAUUAGCUAGUUGGUGAGGUAAAGGCCCACCAAGGCAACGAUCAGUAGCUGGUCUGAGAGGACGAUCAGCCACACUGGGACUGAGACACGGCCCAGACUCCUACGGGAGGCAGCAGUGGGGAAUUUUGGACAAUGGGGGCAACCCUGAUCCAGCAAUGCCGCGUGAGUGAAGAAGGCCUUCGGGUUGUAAAGCUCUUUUGUCAGGGAAGAAACAGCAGCUCUAACACAGUAUGCGAAUGACGGUACCUGAAGAAUAAGCACCGGCUAACUACGUGCCAGCAGCCGCCGCAG